GCCUGGCUAGCUCAGUUGGUAGAGCAUCAGACUUUUAAUCUGAGGGUCCAGGGUUCAAGCCCCUGGUCAGGCU
rnacentral:tRNA from 1 species